rnacentral:rRNA from 1 species
AUGGCCGUGGCGACGGCGGCGGAGAAGGCGGUGCGGUGCCUGGGGCUGGGGUUCGACAUGACGUGCGACCUCAGGCUCAAGUUCUGCAAGCACUCCGGCGGCUGCGUGGUCGCCAGGAGCUCCCGCGAGACGGCGCCGGCCGCCGUGCCGGGCGUCGGCGUGGUCCGCGACAUGCCGGCCGACGUCAAGUGCGGCAAGGGCGACCGCGUCCGCUUCAAGUCCGACGCGCUCGAGUUCAACAAGAUGUCGGAGCUGUUCAACCAGCGGAGCGCCGUGGAGGGGAAGAUCCCGUCGGGGCAGUUCAACGCGUGCUUCGACCUGGACAGCGGGUCGUGGGCGCAGGACGCGUCCGCCACCAAGUGCCUCGCCAUGGACGGCUACUUCAUCUCCCUCUUCGAUCUCCAACUCGAUCGUCGCCCGCUCGCCCUCGCCGCCCAUGUUCUCUGCGACGUCCCUGCCGCCUGGGACCCCUCCGCCAUCGCAAGCUUCAUCGAGAAGUACGGGACGCACGUGGUGGUGGGGCUGAGCAUGGGCGGGCAGGACGUGGUGUGCGUACGGCAGGCCGCGUCGUCGCCGCUGUCGCCGGCGGAGAUCAGGGGCCACCUCGACCGGCUCGGCGACCAGCUCUUCACCGGCGCCUGCGCCGUGCCGCCGCCCCACGCCAGGUCCAGGGCCAGGCUCGCCAGGACGCCGGAGGCCUUCAACGUGUUCGACGCGCAGGUGGCGCAGCAGCGGCUGCAAGGGAUCACCACCCUCGUCUCAUCCAAGGAGGGAGUGACGGUGAUAUACUCGAAGCGGGGAGGGAACACGACGGUGAGCAGCCACGCGGAGUGGCUCCCCACCGUGCCGGCGGCGCCCGAUGUGAUCAACGCCAAGCUCGUGCCCAUCACCUCCCUGCUCCGCGGCGUCGCCGGCACCGGCUUCCUCUCGCACGCCAUCAACCUCUACCUCAGAUAUAAGCCGCCGUUGGCUGACCUGAGGUACUUCCUGGAUUUCCAGCAUCACAGAAUGUGGGCCCCGGUGCUCGGCGAGCUGCCCCUCGGCCCCUGCUCCGACCGCCAGGGCUCCGGCCCGGCCCUGCACUUCAGCCUGCUCGGCUCCAAGCUCUACGUCAGCUCCAGCCAGGUGAUCGUGUCGAAUUUGCCGGUCACCGGGAUGAGGCUGCACCUCGAGGGCAAGAAGAACAACCGGCUGGGCAUCCACCUGCAGCACCUGUCGGCCACCCCGACGUUCAUCGCCGCCGUGCAGGCGCGGGCCGGCAUGGCGCCGGCGUGGCGGGGCUCCGAGGCGGUCACCGACGACCACCGCUACUACGAGCCGGUGCAGUGGCGGAUGUUCGCGCACGUCUGCACCGCGCCGGUCAAGUACGACCCGCGGUGGCACCACUCCCACUCCGACGGCGACGACGGCCGCCGCGCCGCCUACAUCGUGACCGGCGCGCAGCUGCACGUCAUGGCGCGCGACUCCACCACCGUGCUGCACCUCCGGCUGCGCUACUCGGAGCUGCCCGGCUACGCCGUCGUGCAGUCCAGGUGGGGGCGCGGCCCGGCGAGGACGGCGUCGGGGAAGUGGCCGUCGUCGUCGAGCUUCCUGUCCAUGCCCUUCUCGGGGUCCUCUUCGUCGUCGUCGUCCGGUGGCGCUGGCGGCCAGAAGCAGCGAGGCCCGCCGCUGGUGGUGGCGAACAUCAACUCCGGCGUGUUCGCCGGCGGGCCGCCCGUGCCCGUGGGCGCGCAGAAGCUGCUCAAGUUCGUGGACACCUCGCAGGUGACCAUGGGCCCGCACGACAGCCCCGGGUACUGGCUCGCCACCGGCGCGAGGCUCGACGUCGACAAGGGCAAGAUCUCGCUGCACGUCAAGUUCUCCCUGCUCGCCCCGUCGCCUUCCUGA